rnacentral:rRNA from 1 species
GACGAACCGUCCAAACGUUAUUCGGAAUCACUGGGCUUCAGAGUUCGUAGGCGGUCUGGAAAGUUGGGUGUGAAAUCCCUCGGCCUAACCGAGGAACUGUGCUUGAAACUACCAGACUCGAGGGAGAUAGAGGAAAGCGGAACUGAUGGUGGAGCGGUGAAAUGCGUUGAUAUCAUCAGGAACACCGGUGGCGAAGGCGCUUUCUGGGUCUUACCUGACGCUGAGGAACGAAAGCCAGGGGAGCGAACGGG